UACGUAGGUGGCGAGCGUUAUCCGGAAUUAUUGGGCGUAAAGGGCGCGCAGGCGGCCAUUUAAGUUUGACGUGAAAGCUCCUGGCUUAACUGGGAGAGGUCGUUGGAAACUGAAUGGCUUGAGGCAAUGAGAGGGGUGCGGAAUUCCCGGUGUAGUGGUGGAAUGCGUAGAUAUCGGGAGGAACACCAGUGGCGAAAGCGGCACCCUGGCAUUGGACUGACGCUGAAGUGCGAAAGCGUGGGGAGCAAACGGGAUUAGAUACCCCUGUA
rnacentral:rRNA from 1 species